ensembl:snRNA U6 U6 spliceosomal RNA
GUGUGUGUGUGUCCCUACCUCCUAAAUUUAGAAGGAUACAGAGAAGAUUAACAUGGCCCCUACUCAAGGAUGACAUUCACAGUGAAUUCCAACUUUAU